rnacentral:tRNA from 1 species
UCCCCGGUAGCUCAGUUGGUAGAGCGCUCGACUGUUAAUCGAGUGGUCGCUGGUUCGAAGCCGGCCCGGGGAG